AAACUUGACAUCCUUUUGACCGAUCCUUAAUCGGAUCUUUCAGGGCUUGCCCUGACAGAAGAGACAGGUGGUGCAUGGUUGUCGUCAGCUCGUGUCGUGAGAUGUUGGGUUAAGUCCCGCAACGAGCGCAACCCCUAUCUUUAGUAGCCAUCAUUUAGUUGGGCACUCUAGAGAGACUGCCAGGGAUAACCUGGAGGAAGGUGGGGAUGACGUCAAAUCAUCAUGCCCCUUAUGUUUAGGGCUACACACGUGCUACAAUGGCUGCUACAAAGGGAAGCGACCUAGUGAUAGUGAGCAAACCUCAAAAAAGCAGUCCCAGUUCGGAUUGUAGUCUGCAACUCGACUACAUGAAGUUGGAAUCGCUAGUAAUCGCGAAUCAGAAUGUCGCGGUGAAUACGUUCCCGGGUCUUGUACACACGC
rnacentral:rRNA from 1 species